rnacentral:rRNA from 1 species
GACGAACGCUGGCGGCGUGCUUAACACAUGCAAGUCGAACGAUGAAGCCCAGCUUGCUGGGUGGAUUAGUGGCGAACGGGUGAGUAACACGUGAGUAACCUGCCCUUGACUCUGGGAUAAGCGCUGGAAACGGCGUCUAAUACCGGAUACGACCUGCCCCGGCAUCGGGUGUGGGUGGAAAGUUUUUCGGUCAAGGAUGGACUCGCGGCCUAUCAGCUUGUUGGUGAGGUAAUGGCUCACCAAGGCGACGACGGGUAGCCGGCCUGAGAGGGUGACCGGCCACACUGGGACUGAGACACGGCCCAGACUCCUACGGGAGGCAGCAGUGGGGAAUAUUGCACAAUGGGCGAAAGCCUGAUGCAGCAACGCCGCGUGGGGGAUGACGGCCUUCGGGUUGUAAACCUCUUUUAGUAGGGAAGAAGGGCUUCGGCUUGACGGUACCUGCAGAAAAAGCACCGGCUAACUACGUGCCAGCAGCCGCGGUAAUACGUAGGGUGCAAGCGUUGUCCGGAAUUAUUGGGCGUAAAGAGCUCGUAGGCGGUUUGUCGCGUCUGCUGUGAAAACCCGAGGCUCAACCUCGGGCCUGCAGUGGGUACGGGCAGACUAGAGUGCGGUAGGGGAGAAUGGAAUUCCUGGUGUAGCGGUGGAAUGCGCAGAUAUCAGGAGGAACACCGAUGGCGAAGGCAGUUCUCUGGGCCGUUACUGACGCUGAGGAGCGAAAGCGUGGGGAGCGAACAGGAUUAGAUACCCUGGUAGUCCACGCCGUAAACGUUGGGAACUAGAUGUGGGGACCUUUCCACGGUCUCCGUGUCGCAGCUAACGCAUUAAGUUCCCCGCCUGGGGAGUACGGCCGCAAGGCUAAAACUCAAAGGAAUUGACGGGGGCCCGCACAAGCGGCGGAGCAUGCGGAUUAAUUCGAUGCAACGCGAAGAACCUUACCAAGGCUUGACAUAUACCGGAAACUUCCAGAAAUGGUUGCCCCGCAAGGUCGGUAUACAGGUGGUGCAUGGUUGUCGUCAGCUCGUGUCGUGAGAUGUUGGGUUAAGUCCCGCAACGAGCGCAACCCUCGUUCUAUGUUGCCAGCACGUCAUGGUGGGAACUCAUAGGAGACUGCCGGGGUCAACUCGGAGGAAGGUGGGGAUGACGUCAAAUCAUCAUGCCCCUUAUGUCUUGGGCUUCACGCAUGCUACAAUGGCCGGUACAAAGGGCUGCGAUACCGUAAGGUGGAGCGAAUCCCAAAAAGCCGGUCUCAGUUCGGAUUGAGGUCUGCAACUCGACCUCAUGAAGUCGGAGUCGCUAGUAAUCGCAGAUCAGCAACGCUGCGGUGAAUACGUUCCCGGGCCU